rnacentral:rRNA from 1 species
AGGGAAUCUUCGGCAAUGGGGGCAACCCUGACCGAGCAACGCCGCGUGAGUGAAGAAGGUUUUCGGAUCGUAAAGCUCUGUUGUAAGUCAAGAACGAGUGUGAGAGUGGAAAGUUCACACUGUGACGGUAGCUUACCAGAAAGGGACGGCUAACUACGUGCCAGCAGCCGCGGUAAUACGUAGGUCCCGAGCGUUGUCCGGAUUUAUUGGGCGUAAAGCGAGCGCAGGCGGUUUGAUAAGUCUGAAGUUAAAGGCUGUGGCUCAACCAUAGUUCGCUUUGGAAACUGUCAAACUUGAGUGCAGAAGGGGAGAGUGGAAUUCCAUGUGUAGCGGUGAAAUGCGUAGAUAUAUGGAGGAACACCGGUGGCGAAAGCGGCUCUCUGGUCUGUAACUGACGCUGAGGCUCGAAAGCGUGGGGAGCGAACAGGAUUAGAUACCCUGGUAGUCCACGCCGUAAACGAUGAGUGCUAGGUGUUGGAUCCUUUCCGGGAUUCAGUGCCGCAGCUAACGCAUUAAGCACUCCGCCUGGGGAGUACGACCGCAAGGUUGAAACUCAAAGGAAUUGACGGGGGCCCGCACAAGCGGUGGAGCAUGUGGUUUAAUUCGAAGCAACGCGAAGAACCUUACCAGGUCUUGACAUCCCGAUGCUAUUUCUAGAGAUAGAAAGUUACUUCGGUACAUCGGUGACAGGUGGUGCAUGGUUGUCGUCAGCUCGUGUCGUGAGAUGUUGGGUUAAGUCCCGCAACGAGCGCAACCCCUAUUGUUAGUUGCCAUCAUUCAGUUGGGCACUCUAGCGAGACUGCCGGUAAUAAACCGGAGGAAGGUGGGGAUGACGUCAAAUCAUCAUGCCCCUUAUGACCUGGGCUACACACGUGCUACAAUGGUUGGUACAACGAGUUGCGAGUCGGUGACGGCAAGCUAAUCUCUUAAAGCCAAUCUCAGUUCGGAUUGUAGGCUGCAACUCGCCUACAUGAAGUCGGAAUCGCUAGUAAUCGCGGAUCAGCACGCCGCGGUGAAUACGUUCCCG